UACGGAGGGUGCUAGCGUUGUUCGGAAUUACUGGGCGUAAAGCGCACGUAGGCGGAUAUUUAAGUCAGGGGUGAGAUCCCGGGGCUCAACCCCGGAACUGCCUUUGAUACUGGGUAUCUGGAGUAUGGAAGAGGUGAGUGGAAUUCCGAGUGUAGAGGUGAAAUUCGUAGAUAUUCGGAGGAACACCAGUGGCGAAGGCGGCUCACUGGUCCAUUACUGACGCUGAGGUGCGAAAGCGUGGGGAGCAAACAGG
rnacentral:rRNA from 1 species